CUAUUUCCUUUCAGCAAAUAAACCCUUUGCAUGACAUUUAUCUGUCCUCACUGUGUCCGUUACCAUCCAGGAAGGUUUAUCAAGGAACAAACAGGACGCACACACAGCGCCUGGUCCUGCAGCACCCAUCCCCACAAACUCUCUUCAGCGAGCUCAAGACUGCACACAUCGAUACCAUCCUUUGGAUACCGACACUUCAGUCCGUCUGCCUCAAUUCCAGAACCCUUCCUCCUACCCAGCCCCUGUGCCUUCAGAGAAAAUCCAGGCAUCGCCACCCUCAGCAGCCCAGCACACGGACUCAUAAGGCACCGCACCAGGGUCUGCAGUGUUUCAGGGACUUUCUCCUCUCCCUGCUGCGGCUCCGGCUCCCCUCGAAAGCGAGCGGCUUCGCGUGUGACUUUGCAAUCUGAGAAUGUGAAGCGGGCGGCAGGACACCGGGGGUCCGAGUAACAAACACCGCUGGAAAGGGGACAGAAGCCAGGGUGUAUCUCUUUAAGGAGGAAAAAAAAAAAGGUCUUUGUUUAUAUUGUAAUAUCUGAGAAAAUGUUUUGUGACACUGUUACCAAAAGCUGUUUCAUAGUUUAUAAUAAUAUUGCGAGUGCAGAUUUCUCUGUAA